rnacentral:sRNA from 1 species
UAUAGAAAGUACAAAGGUUUUUACAGGC